CACAUAUACAGGCCGAGAUACACAACGUACACAUAAACAUGUCGUUGACAGCGAACAUCACAAAAAACCCACAAGCUGCCAUGAAGCAAAUAGAUAAAAAUAUAAAAAUAACUGAACAGGAAUGUAUAUGGGAUUUAAGACUACAUAUUUUACUUACAGUCGGUGGUGCUCCCCCUUUGGGAAUAAUCCCGUCUCUCAGCGGCAUUUUGCUGUAUUUAUUUUUUAAUAUACGCAUUAUUUUUUCCGGGGAGGGCGGGUGGGCGGCCAGGAGGGUUCGUAUUGUUUUGGGGUUUGUUUGUUUUUGUUUUUACUGCCUGGACAAUAACCAAUCGGGAGUCCCUCUGUCGCCCCCUUUUAAAUCCUGCCGCGGUCCGUUAAAAACCCGAAGAAGUUUAAAAUGCUGCGGGGAAGCGGUGGCGGGGGCGCCCCCUGGCCCGCGGGGCGCGGGGGAGCCGGCCCGGGGGGUCCCCCCAGCACACAAACACACACACAGGCAGGCCUUUCUUUUGAGGCCUACAUUUCUGUCCCUAGCCUUGAAGCCUAAAGAUGGCUAUUUGAUUACACACCGUCUUGGGUGCCCCUUUUGUUAUUUUUCCCCGGGAAGGGCUCGGAGGGCAGCGCCCGGCCCCCCCCGGCUGCGAGGAUCGUUUCCUAGCCCAUGCUCCGUGCCGAUUAUCGAUGUUAAACAUGCCCGCUAAUUUUGAGUUGCACUAAAACUGCACUCAGACUCUCUCCUCUCUGCCUCUCCCUCUGUGAGAGAGAGAGAGAAACACACAGAGCUGCCACCACAAGCGAAAGAAACUGCCUUCCGCCGACCGGAGCCCUCUGUUCCCCAGUCACCUCCUCCUGGGGAAGGGGGGCAGGGGAGAGGGGCUCCGGCGGAGGCAGGAGCGGGGUGUGCGCCGUACCCCCGAUCCCCCUUCAUCGCUCCGCCGACAAGGCCAAGCCACCAACCUGCCUAUCUACUCGCUUCCUUCUUCCACCCCCCACCUUCUCUAACCGCCUUUAAAUAGGACGGUUCCCGGCCACCCCGGCUCCCCCCGCCGCCCCCGGGGGUCAGAGAAGACUUUUAGGAAGAGCCGCGGCUCCAUGCGAUCUCCCUCUCCCUCCCUCGCUCGCUCGCUCCCUCGCUCGCUCUCUCUCACACACACACUGUACAGCUACGGCAGCGGCGGCGGCGGCGGUGGCGGCGGCAGCGGGAUUCACUUCUCUUCUCUCUCAGACAAAAAGAUCUGAGGCCGCCGUGCUUCUGCCUGGACGAGAGCGCAACACAGCGGACCCCGGAGGCCGCUCCCGGUACUGCACAAGGCAGCUCUAAAGGCAAAAGCCAGCGCAGCCCCAGCAAGCAGUUCCUGGCGGGGAACAAUAGGCUCCUCUCGCCGCUAAGGGCUCAUCUGCAAUGUGCCGCAAACUUCACACAAAGCCGGGCGGAAAGAGGCGAGGGAGAAGGAGAAGAGGGGAGGAAAAAAACGACUACUACCGGUUGGAAGCCCAGGAGACCUGCACGACAACCAUGAGGGAGACCAGUGCUGCUUGGGGUAAACAAGAGUGAGAAAGGCCCAAGCGGUGAACAGCAACUUUUGGUGAAGAACCUUUGCUCC